AAGUCGUAACAAGGUCUCCGUAGGUGAACCUGCGGAGGGAUCAUUACACAACAAAAUAUGAAGGCCUGGCUUCGCGGCCGGCUGAAAUAUUUUUUUCACCCAUGUCUUUUGCGCACUUGUUGUUUCCUGGGCGGGUUCGCCCGCCACCAGGACCAAACCAUAAACCUUUUUUUUUAUGCAGUUACCAUCAGCGUCAGUAAAAACAAUGUAAUUAAUUACAACUUUCAACAACGGAUCUCUUGGUUCUG
rnacentral:misc_RNA from 1 species